rnacentral:rRNA from 1 species
UGAGUACGAGCUGCUACGGCAGCGAAGUGGGUGAUGUCAAGCUUCCAAGAAAAGCCCUAUACCCGUUAAGGCAUGACGGCCUGUACCCGAAACCGACACAGGUGGGGUGGUAGAGAAUACCGAGGGGCGCGAGAUAACUCUCUCUAAGGAACUCGGCAAGAUGGCCCCGUAACUUCGGGAGAAGGGGUGCCACCGCAAGGUGGUCGCAGUGAAGAGGCCCAGGCGACUGUUUACCAAAAACACAGGUCUCCGCUAAGUCGCAAGACGAUGUAUGGGGGCUGACGCCUGCCCAGUGCCGGAAGGUUAAGGAAGCUGGUCAGCGCAAGCGAAGCUAGCGACUGAAGCCCCGGUGAACGGCGGCCGUAACUAUAACGGUCCUAAGGUAGCGAAAUUCCUUGUCGGGUAAGUUCCGACCCGCACGAAAGGCGUAACGAUCUGGGCGCUGUCUCGGAGAGAGGCUCGGCGAAAUAGAAUUGUCUGUGAAGAUGCGGACUACGUGCACCCGGACAGAAAGACCCUAUGAAGCUUUACUGUAGCUUGGUAUUGUGCCCGGGCUCUGAAUGCGCAGGAUAGGUGGGAGGCUUUGAUCCAUGGCUUGCGGGUCAUGGUGAGCCAACGGUGAGAUACCACUCUUUCAGAGCUAGGGUUCUAACCUUCACCCGUUAUCCGGGGAGGGGACAGUGUCAGGUGGGCAGUUUGACUGGGGCGGUCGCCUCCUAAAAGGUAACGGAGGCGCGCAAAGGUUUGCUCAGGCUGGUUGGAAAUCAGCCGACGAGUGUAAAAGCAGAAGCAAGCUUGACUGUGAGACCAACAAGUCGAACAGGGACGAAAGUCGGCUUUAGUGAUCCGACGGUUCUGAGUGGAAGGGCCGUCGCUCAACGGAUAAAAGUUACUCUAGGAUAACAGGCUGAUCUCCCCCAAGAGUUCACAUCGACGGGGAGGUUUGGCACCUCGAUGUCGGCUCAUCGCAACCUGGGGCUGAAGUCGGUCCCAAGGGUUGGGCUGUUCGCCCAUUAAAGCGGUACGCGAGCUGGGUUCAGAACGUCGUGAGACAGUUCGGUCCAUAUCCGGUGCAUGCGUAAGAACAUUGAGAGGAGUUCUCCCUAGUACGAGAGGACCGGGAGGAACGCACCUCUGGUGUACCAGUUAUCGUGCCAACGGUAAACGCUGGGUAGCCAUGUGCGGAGAGGAUAACCGCUGAAAGCAUCUAAGUGGGAAGCCCACCUCAAGAUGAGUGUUCUCAUGGCUUAAGCCAGUAAGGUCACGGGAAGAACACCCGUUGAUAGGCUCUACGUGGAAGCGCAGCAAUGUGUGAAGCGGAGGAGUACUAAUAGACCGAGGGCUUGACC